rnacentral:piRNA from 1 species
UCUUUUAUAUUGUCUGGGUGCCCCACAAC